rnacentral:rRNA from 1 species
GAGUUUGAUCCUGGCUCAGUAAGUCCUAUCAAGGUAACCAGUAUUGGAUCCUCUAGAGUUUGAUCCUGGCUCACUAAGUCCUAACAAGGUAACCAGAAUUGGAUCCCCUUACCUUUUAUCCUGUCCCCCGAAAGGCAAGGGACCUUCCGGCCUUGCCAUCCCCUUCAUUUUGAUGGACCCCCCUCGAAUUGGCUGGGUAAAGGGCCACCGGCGCAACGAUGCAACGAUGCGCAGCCAAGCUGAUCGGGCAAUCUGCAACUCAGACACUGACCAACCUCCUACUGGCCGCAGGGAUGCAGAAUUUUGGAAUCUGCGCCCAAGGCCGAUCCUGGCAUACCGCAAGCCGGAGAAAGGGAUUCAGGUUUUAACGCCCUUAUGUUCUGAAAGUAAUCCAGAUGAGGUAUACCCUGUACACUGACCACCUUCGAAGUACCUUGGCCGCUUCUUGAGCCUAAGCGCAAAAAUCCGGAUUUGGUUAGCUAUAAAAACGUGGAUAACUUGUAUGGCGCAACUGAUUUAGAAUUAGGGCAUCUCAGAAGAGAAAAGACGAGCUUAGAUCUACUGCCCCUUAUAUAGGAGAAAAUAUAAGCGUAACACGGAAAUUUUUUAAAGCCAUGGAAAAGGAAAAAAAAAAUCUCAAAAGGUGACCCGGGAAAUCCUUCCAUUCUCCAAAUUUUGUUGUAAAGAAAAUAACCAGCACCGAUGGGGGUUAAUUGGUUAAUUUCCGAAAGACCAUUAAAAAAUCCAGAACUUUUGUAAAGUUCAUUGAGAAAGGCCUUAUCCUUCAGCUUAAAAAAGAAAAAACAAGUGCUUCUCGUCAACUUUAUGUGAGAUGUUGGAAGUAGUUCCGCAGAGAGCGCAACCAACGAUUCUAGCUUCGCUCUUUAAGUUGGGCACUAUAAGGCGACUGCCGGUGACAAACCGGAGGAAGGUGGGGAUGACGUCAAGUCAUCAUGCCCCUUCGACCAGGGCUACACCCGUGCUACAAUGGUAGGUACAGAGGGCUGCAAGACGGCGAGGGGGAGCCAAUCUCAGAAACCCGUUUUCAGUUCGGAUUGGAGUCUGCAACUCGCCUCCGGAAGACAAGGUAACCGUAAUCGGAGAUCAGCGUGUUUGAUCCUGGCUCGUUAAGUGGUAACAAGGUAACCCGUAUUGGAUCCCCUAGAGUUUGAUCCGGCUCAGGAAGUCGUAACAAGGUAACCAGUAUGGUCCUCUAGAU